rnacentral:lncRNA from 1 species
AGCCCUGUGUUGGAAUGACUUACCCACCCUCCCAGGUCUCUUUUCAUCUUUCCUGAAGGUCUCAUUGCUCACCGGUUUCCACAGGGGAAAUAACAUUAUUGGCAACUCUUCUGAGCACUUGUUCCCAGCCAGGCACCAUGCAAAGGCCUAAGGAUACAGCUGCAAUGACAGACACAAUCCUCCAAGCUGGGCUGUAUAUUUAGUACCCAGAAAAUAC